rnacentral:lncRNA from 1 species
AAAUAAUGAGGCUCUGGUAUAGAAAUUGCACCUGCUCUGGAUAAACAUUAUCUAUCAGAUCAUGGUAUGUAAUUGGAGACUUGUGUUUUACAGAGUAGUUCUUAAUUGAGAAACACAAAACAUAUAAGCUUACAUUGAUGAACAGUUUCAUUACACCAUAGAUUUAUCAAAAGGGUAAUGUAACCUCUACCUUAUUUAAUUAAUUAAUUCAUUUAACAAAUCCUUAUAUAAUGCUUACGUAAUCAUACAAAAGCUUAUACAUAAUAUAAUCUUUAUAUAAAACAUAUUAUUAUAUAAUGCAUACUUCAGGCCCUACUACAUAUUAUUUAUGUUUAGAAACCUCCUUUCUUCCUUAUAAUAACCCUAUGAGGUAGACAUUAUCUUUUUCUCUCACUUUACCAGUGAGGAAACUAAGAUAUAGAGUGGUUAAGUGACUUAUUUAAUAUCACAGUUUAUUAACUCUAGCGUCUCAGUGGCUAAAAUAUUUCUGUAUUUUCUUUAUAGGAGUGAAAAUCCCACUUGCUAAAAUUUUCUCACAUCAUUUGCCAAAUAUUAAUUUAAAAAGUCAUAUUCAACUUAAAAAAAAAAAAAGAACUUAAUACAUGCCUUGUGCUCUGCUAGGGUUUUUUUCCCCUAACUUAAUUUUUCUAGUAACUGUGAGAUAUGUGCUAUUAUUACCAGUUCGCAGGAAAAGCUGCAAAAACCAGAAUGAGUAAAGAAACUUGAUAUAAGUUAGAAAUCAUUGGCAGUGUUAAUUAUCAGUAUAUUAUUAGUUACUGAUGUAAGCGUGUGCGAGGAGAAAGGCUUCUUGUUACUCAUAUUAACAUUAUUGCUUCUAUGUUUCAAUAGAUUAGUCCGAUAUUGGGCUAGGAGUUUGUUAAGAUUUUACUCUCUAGUCAAGGUUGUACCCGUUUCUAAAAAGCUGUACCUUUUUAGACUAUCUCUCACAUUCAUGUCUAUAGAAUUUAAGCAGGCUUCCUUUUAAUGUAUGUUAUGUUGACCUCCAAGUAAAAAUCACCCAACAAUUAUGCAAAUCAUGUUAUAAUAAUAGAGUUCUAUG